rnacentral:rRNA from 1 species
UGCCUAACACAUGCAAGUCGAGCGAGAAAGGGGGGCAACUCCCUGAGUAAAGCGGCGCACGGGUGAGUAACACGUGGGUAAUCUGCCCUGAAGUGGGGAAUAACACCGGGAAACCGGUGCUAAUACCGCAUAUGAUCACGGUGUCUGCGGACACAGGGAUGAAAGGAGCAAUUCGCUUCAGGAGGAGCCCGCGGCUGAUUAGCUAGUUGGUGAGGUAAUGGCUCACCAAGGCUACGAUCAGUAUCCGGUCUGAGAGGACGGUCGGACACACUGGAACUGAGACACGGUCCAGACUCCUACGGGAGGCAGCAGUGGGGAAUUUUUCGCAAUGGGGGCAACCCUGACGAAGCAACGCCGCGUGGGUGAUGAAGUCUCUUGGGACGUAAAACCC